rnacentral:rRNA from 1 species
UGAGGAACAUGACCUUCGGCGGGGGAUAGCCGGCCCAACGGCCGGGUAAUACCGCGUACGACCACAUGGGGACAUCCCUGAGUGGUGAAAGCAGCAAUGCGCCGAUGGAGUGCCUCGCGGCCUAUCAGCUAGUUGGUGAGGUAACGGCUCACCAAGGCAACGGACGGGUAGCUGGUCUGAGAGGAUGGCCAGCCACAGUUGGGACUGAGACACGGUCCAGACCUNUACGGGAG